rnacentral:lncRNA from 1 species
UCAUUCUCUCAGAGACUGGUCUCUCUCUAAACAAUUGCUCUCCCUUCUCUCUAGAACCUUCUAGUUCUCUCCUUCUUCUCCGAUGAACUUCAUCGCCUCUCUGUCCAUACUCCAUCCUCACUUCUCUCAACCUUUAGUCACCAUGGAAUCCUAUGUCGUUGCUUCUUUCCAAGGUCUGAAGCCCCCGAAGCUUCCGCCAUGAAAGAUGGUCACUGAAGCCUCGCAUGGGCCUGUUCACGGCCUUUCUCCGGUGGAUUUUUGUCCGAUGAUGCUUUAAAUGUCGUUAUUAACGAGUUUCACAGCCAGGUUUCUCAUCUCCCUGAUUUUAUUUGCAAACCC